GUCGGAGUCGGGUGCUAGGCCUGGACGCCGUCCGCAGCCCAGCAGCUCGGCUCAGCAGCUCGGGCCUCCGGGUGCAGACCCCCGGGCGCAGGCUCGGGGAGCGCCGUCCCGUCUCAAAUCGGCUCCCGAAAACCGUUCAGGACGCAAAGAUCCUGGCAGAGCAGCUAGAGACAUGAACAGCUUUCCUACAGCAUAAGGGAGAUCACCUACAAGACAAGCAGAAAGGAGGAUUCAUAUACCUACGCAACAAAAGAGAACAGGACGUAUGAGUAUGAGGAUGGUUUUAGUUUAUGCUAUGCCUUGUGAUGAAGUGCGCUAAUUGUUCAGGAAAAGCUAUGGCAAAAACUAACCCUGAAAUCUUAAUGACUUAGUUCACUACGACAAAAGCUUAUUUCUUCUCGGUGCUACAUGUCCAUCAUCAGUAGGAGGGUGAAAGAGGCUGUAUUCUACAGAGUCAUGCAAAGAUCCAGGAUGAUAACGGCUCCAUCAGUCAGCAGAUGCACCAUCUGGAAUUUACCCUGUGGUUGGUUGUCUGAUGUGCCAGUGACUGCUUACAUAAGUAACUCCAGUUGCCUGCAGACCUAAAUGCAAACAGAUAUAAAUCAACUCCCACAAAUUUAUCAGUAAUAAUGCCUACAUUUUUUUAUCUGUUUAACUCCUGUGUUCCUCUAUCAGUUGGUCUGGAACUAAGGUAAGGAAAAGAGUAAUCUUAUCUAAAGAGAUCCAAACAUCCUCCCCCAAGGUUACGUUAAUCUCCAUACUCACCUAUUAUUUCUGAAAUAUUUUAUAAGUGAAUUUUUUUAAGGGAAGCCAUUAGAAGAACUAUAAAGGUUUUCACACCUUCCAAAUCACUAGAGCCAGAGACAAUGAAGCUAAGAAAAUGUAAUCAAGGCACCAAACAACUAGGAAAAACAUGGCAAACAGAAAACAGAAUGAGAUGGUAGAAGUAAGUCCAAAUGUACUACUACUAAUAAUAAAAUGUAAACUACUUAAAUUCAUCUCUAAGAUUUUCCAGUUGAGUUUAAAAAUAUAUGUUUACUAAAGACUACUAAAAGCCUUACAGAGAAAAUUUAAACGAAAGGAUAGAAUAUAGUACCUUAUCUUAUUACACUUUGCUUUACUGCACUUGACAGAUACUAUGAUUUUUGCAAAUUGAAGUUUUGUGGCAACGCUGCUUUAAGCAAUCUCUUGGUGCCAUUUUUUCUAACAGCAUUUUCUCACUUUGUGUGUGUCACAACUUGGUAUUCAAUUAUUUCAAACAUUUUCAUUAUUAUUUGAUAUGGUGAUCUGUGAUCUUUGAUGUUACUACUGUAAUUGUUUCGGGAUGCCACAAACCACAUCCAUCUAAGACAGUGAACCUAGUCAAUAAAUGUGUGUAUUGUCUACUCCACCAACUAGCCAUCUCCUCACCUCUCUCAGGCCUCCUUAUUGCCUGAGACACAACGAUAUUGAAAUGAGGCCAAUUAAUAACCCUACAAUGGCCUCUAAGUGUUCAAGUGGAAGGAAGAAUAACACAUCCCUUACUUUAAAUCAAAAGGUAGAAAUUACUAAGCUUAGUGAGGAAGGCAUGUCAAAAGCUAAGGCAGGCUGAAAUCUAGGCCUCUUGCACCAAACAACAGAGCUGUGAAUGCAAAGAAAAAGUUCUUGAAGAAAAUAUAAAGCACUAUUCCACCGAACACAUUAAUGACAAUAAAAGUGAGACAGCCUUAUUAUGGAUUUGGGGAAAGUAUGUGUGGUACUCCGUAGAAGAUCACACCAGUCAUAACAUUCCCUUAGACCAACACCUAAGCCAUAGCAAGGCCCUAUCUCUCCAAUUCUGUGAAGGCUGAGAGAGAUGAGGGGAGGUUGCAGCAGAAACUCCUGAAGCUAGCAGAGGUUGUUUUAUAAGGUUUACAGAAAGAAGCCAUCUCCAUGACAUACAAGUCCAAGGUGAAGCAGCAAGUGAUCCAGGAGAUCUAACUAAGGUAAUUCAUGAAGAUGGCUAUACUCAACAACAGACUUUCAAUGCAAAUGAAAUAGCCUUCAACUGGAGGAUGUCAUUUAGGACUUUCAUAGCUGGUGAAAAAGCCAAUGCCUGGCUUCAAAGGCCAGGCUGACUCUCUUCUUAGGGGCUAACAUGGCUGGUAAUUUUCAGUUGAAGCCACUGUUCCUUUACCUUUCUGAAAAUCCAAGGGCCCUUAAGAAAUAUACUAAAUCUACUCUGUGCUCUACAAAUGGAACAAUGGAGCCCGGAUGGCAACACAUCUGUUUACAGUAUGGUUUACUGAAUAUUUUAAGCCCACUCUUGAAACCAACUGCUCAGAAAAAAGAUCCUUUCAAAAUAUUACUGCUCAUUGGGACACCUGGGAGUGUCUGUCUUUGGCUCAGGGCGUGAUCCCGGUCACGGGAUCGAGUCCCACAUCAGGCUCCCUGUGAAGAGCCUGCUUCUCCCUCUGUCUGUGUCUCUGCCUCUCUCUCUGUCUCUCAUGAAUAAAUAAAUAAAAAUCUUUAAAAAAAAUAUUACUGUUCAUUGACAAUGUUCUGGGUCACUCAAGACCUCUGGUGGAGAUGUACAAGGAGAUAAACAUGUUCACAUCCGGUAACAAAACAUCCAUUAAGAAACGCAUUUUAUAAGACUAUAGCUGCCAUAGAUAGUGGUUCCUCUGAUGGAUUUGGACAAGGUAAGUCAAAAACCUUCUGGGAAGGAUUCACUUUAUAGAUGCCAUUAAGAACAUUUAUGACUCAUGGAAAGAAUCAUUAACAUUCAUUAACAUUCAUUAACUUCAUUGUUGUCCUAUUUUAAGAAAUUGCCCCAGCCACCCAACAUUCACAACCACCACCCUCAUCAGUCAGCAGCCAUCCUCA